rnacentral:rRNA from 1 species
ACAACCCUAUGCGGUGGAUCACUUGGCUCGCGAGUCGAUGAAGAGCGCAGCAAACUGCGUGAAUUAAUGUGAUUUGCAGGACACAUUGAUCAUCGAUAUCUUGAACGCAUAUUGCGGUUAUGGAUCGCUUCCAUGACCACGCCUGUCUGAGGGUCG